CUUUGGGGUGUGACUGCGUACCUUUUGUAUAAUGGGUCAGCGACUUAUAUUCUGUAGCAAGGUUAACCGUAUAGGGGAGCCGGAGGGAAACCGAGUCUUAACCGGGCGUUAAGUUGCAGGGUAUAGACCCGAAACCCGGUGAUCUAGCCAUGGGCAGGUUGAAGGUUGGGUAACACUAACUGGAGGACCGAACCGACUAAUGUUGAAAAAUUAGCGGAUGACCUGUGGCUGGGGGUGAAAGGCCAAUCAAACCGGGAGAUAGCUGGUUCUCCCCGAAAGCUAUUUAGGUAGCGCCUCGUGAAUUCAUCUCCGGGGGUAGAGCACUGUUUCGGCUAGGGGGCCAUCCCGGCUUACCAACCCGAUGCAAACUGCGAAUACCGGAGAAUGUUAUCACGGGAGACACACGGCGGGUGCUAACGUCCGUCGUGAAGAGGGAAACAACCCAGACCGCCAGCUAAGGUCCCAAAGUCAUGGUUAAGUGGGAAACGAUGUGGGAAGGCCCAGACAGCCAGGAUGUUGGCUUAGAAGCAGCCAUCAUUUAAAGAAAGCGUAAUAGCUCACUGGUCGAGUCGGCCUGCGCGGAAGAUGUAACGGGGCUAAACCAUGCACCGAAGCUGCGGCAGCGACGCUGAUGCGUUGUUGGGUAGGGGAGCGUUCUGUAAGCCUGCGAAGGUGGCCUGUGAGGGUUGCUGGAGGUAUCAGAAGUGCGAAUGCUGACAUAAGUAACGAUAAAGCGGGUGAAAAGCCCGCUCGCCGGAAGACCAAGGGUUCCUGUCCAACGUUAAUCGGGGCAGGGUGAGUCGACCCCUAAGGCGAGGCCGAAAGGCGUAGUCGAUGGGAAACGGGUUAAUAUUCCCGUACUUGGUGUUACUGCGAAGGGGGGACGGAGAAGGCUAUGUUGGCCGGGCGACGGUUGUCCCGGUUUAAGCGUGUAGGUGUGUGUUCCAGGUAAAUCCGGUUCACUUUAACACUGAGGCGUGAUGACGAGGCACUACGGUGCUGAAGCAACAAAUGCCCUGCUUCCAGGAAAAGCCUCUAAGCAUCAGGUAACAUCAAAUCGUACCCCAAACCGACACAGGUGGUCAGGUAGAGAAUACCAAGGCGCUUGAGAGAACUCGGGUGAAGGAACUAGGCAAAAUGGUGCCGUAACUUCGGGAGAAGGCACGCUGACACGUAGGUGAAGUGAUUUACUCAUGGAGCUGAAGUCAGUCGAAGAUACCAGCUGGCUGCAACUGUUUAUUAAAAACACAGCACUGUGCAAACACGAAAGUGGACGUAUACGGUGUGACGCCUGCCCGGUGCCGGAAGGUUAAUUGAUGGGGUCAGCGCAAGCGAAGCUCCUGAUCGAAGCCCCGGUAAACGGCGGCCGUAACUAUAACGGUCCUAAGGUAGCGAAAUUCCUUGUCGGGUAAGUUCCGACCUGCACGAAUGGCGUAAUGAUGGCCAGGCUGUCUCCACCCGAGACUCAGUGAAAUUGAACUCGCUGUGAAGAUGCAGUGUACCCGCGGCAAGACGGAAAGACCCCGUGAACCUUUACUAUAGCUUGACACUGAACAUUGAGCCUUGAUGUGUAGGAUAGGUGGGAGGCUUUGAAGUGUGGACGCCAGUCUGCAUGGAGCCGACCUUGAAAUACCACCCUUUAAUGUUU
rnacentral:rRNA from 1 species